GAACCAAAAUUUGUAGUCCUGUUUGGUGCUAUAUAACCUAUACUGUGUUGGUGCGCCGUAAAACCCAAAUAAAUAAAUAGAUUUUGUGUGUUUGCAACUGUGCAGUCACCAGUGUUUGCUAUGUAUCAGUGGUUACUGGUCUGUGCAUUUUAUAUAUUGGACAGCUAAAGAAAAAAUGAUAAGUGUUUUCCAUCUCUUCGCAUGAUAUUUUAAACGUAGUACAAAACGAACUCAUUAGAAAACAACCCAAUGAAUAAAAAGAAAAGAUCUUUGGACUAUUGGUGAUCUUCAUUAGUGCAACAGUUUUCACUGCAAACUUUCUGUGUAAGGGAAAGUUUCACUUAAUCAUGGUGACAUAAUUCUUCAAGGUGAAUGGGAUACCACUCUCAUCCACAUGCCAAACUAAAAAUGAAAAAUAAAAGAUAAUGUAAAUCUAUCUAUCUUCCACUCAGUCAAACCCCUUGCGAGGACAUAGACUUUGACGCGCGUCAACUGACAAAGAGAGAAAAGAAUAAAAGCAUAAAAGAAGGAGUAUAUACAGAUUGUAUCCAAAAAUAGGUUAAAAACAGAGCAGGUUUCUAGGCGGGACACAUGUUCAACCUGGCAGACUGUCUGGCUGAACUGAUUUGCUCAAAGAGAGACAAUAUUCUCAGGGAGUGAGUUCCAAUGGACAAUAGUGCGAAGGAAAAAUGAAUACUUAUGAAAGCUUAUACACCAUAUCUAAGAAAAGAUUUACACUUGUUAUAAAAUGGCCGAAACAUUUUCAUUUCAACAUCCGCCCGUCGGAGGAAAAUAGUUUAAAUUAGGUCAGAUUGUAAUUCUAACAAGUUUUGUCAGUUUUAUUGUCUUGCAAACCGCAUGUUGUAAUUUAUUGUUAAAUUCUAUGAAAAUUUGUCUCCUUGUAUAACUUGUUUACCUGUGAUACAAGGCGGGAAAAUGCUGUUUUUGUACAAUUGCGGUUUCUUUUACAGAGUGAUGAACCAAGUCCCCCUGUCCAGCUAAAAUUGCUAGCAUUUUUUAGGAAAGAGCCAGUGUAUGUAAUUGUAAAUGUAACAGUAAUGUAACAGUAAUGUAAGUGUAAUGUAAUUAAAUGGUGCCAUGCUUGGACUAUUCUUGCACUCGAAAAUAGUGUUCGAUAGAGACACAGAAGUUAUAUACAUGUAUUUGUCAUGUUUUACUUAUUCAUGUAUGUCUAAAUACAUUUCUAAAUGUGAUAUUAGUAUAUUUAUAAUAUCAGUAACGCUGCAGAUUGUAAACGAUACAGUUGAGUAAAGGCUAGUAAUACAAUGUACGAACUUCGUCUGCUUUACAGGUUACAUAUAAGGAGAUCAAACUAAGAUCGUGAUAAAAAGUACACUUGUACGAGAUUUGACCCUUUAGUUUCAUUUUCAUUAUUAAUUCCUUUAUUCCCAUCGACUGAACCCCUCUAGUUUGAGGUUCUAUACGAGUUUCAUACCACAAAACUGGUAUACACUCAUUCGCGAAGAACUGUACUAUAAUAUCGCAUACUAAAUACACUUUCUAAAAUGUUACACAUUGUAUAACAUAAAUUUCAGUAAUAAUUACUAUGCUAAACAUAUCUGUGACAAAAAAACGUUAAAAAUGACAAUAACGAUCAUGAUUGUGCCAAAUUUUGCCCCAUGUUAAAUAUAGCGUGUAACCAUGUGAAAAUGACUCAGAUAUUAUGACGUGAACUUAAAUUUAUUAUUGCAACCAACGUGAAUAAGAUCUAAAUCCAUAUACUGUUUUUACACCUAGGUGCAGACCAAAUCUGUUGACGAUGUUCAAUUCAUAACCUGAAAUCAUCAUUUAUUUAUAUAUUUUUUUUUCAUUUUGAAAACAUUUUGGAGCAAUAAACCUCUAAAAAGGACUUUUAACCUUGAAUGGAUUUUAUUCCGCUUCUAGUGAACCUUAAAUAAAUAAACCACAUGUUAUAUUAUUUGAAUAUAAAUACUGAGACAGGAAGUAGCAUAUUGAUUUGAUUUGAAAUAUUCAAAUGGAAAAAAAGGCAGAAAUCAUAGGCCUUGAAUAACGGUUAGAUUACAAUUGCGUGACGAAUUAUUACCCAAUAUGGCGGCUCGCUGUGCACACACGUGGUUGCCUUGCGGAGUAAUACCUUUUGUCAAUGUAAUUUCUACUGAUUAGAAAUAAUUAUGGUAUCGGUGUGGUAAAUCAUUUGUUUGAUUGUGGUUUUGGAUGUAACCACUUUGUGGGAAGGCGUUAGGUUGUGAAAGAGUUAAUUUUGUGAAAUUAACACACUGUCACAGUUUCUAAGUGACAAAAAAGUUCGGUUGAUGAAUCUUCAAUGUUGACUACUAUGGCUACCACGGAUUAGGAUAAACAUGACUAAAAGAGCCUAUUCAACUAUUCAUGCAGCUAUUUAGUUUCAGACCAGCAUGGCAGUUCAAGGUUGUUGCCAAGUGCGGUCGCAUUUGUUACAGACGGAUGAUCAAAAUAGUUUGGAUAAUUCUCUAUCAACGAUGAGGCGACAUUCGGCUAAGCAGUGGUGAUUUACGGCUGGACAUCCGGAUUAUUGCUUAUGGACCAUAGACUGUUUUCAUGAUACUUUGUGUUCCUGUCUGCAUAGCACUAAUAUUAUCCGCCGUCUACUUGAGCCGGAAGUAUUGCAUCUUGCGACCUAAUGCUGAUGAAGUAUCAUUCUGGUAGAUAGUGCACAAGUGAUACUGCUUUUCACCAAGCAGUUUCAUAAUUCCAACAUGAUUCGCAUCUAUAGCCAGUCAAUUUAAACUCAACAGACGAGUGGUCAAUCCUGCUGUUUACGGUCUCCGAAAUAUAGAGAACGGAAUAAGACAUAUUGGGAUAUUCCUGAGGGCAAUUAAUCACACGAAAUGAUUUAUCCUGUUCAAAGAGGCAAUCGUUGAAUAUAACGCUGUUUGGCGACCGUCUGCAAAAUAUAAUGAUGGAAUAAUUGGAUACCACUAAAGUGCAUGGAUGAACUUUCUUAGAAGGUGUCUGGUUUACGAUUCUUACGUGACAGAAAGUACCGACAAAUGUGUUAACUUUAAAAUACAUGGAGGAUUGAAAGAUAUGUGUCUGUAUGGAAGUGUUUAAAUCUUUAAAUGAUGGUGAUUUGGUGAAAACCUAUUUUUUCGAUUCAACAGAGGUAAUCUUUAUAGAAUAUAU
rnacentral:lncRNA from 1 species